AAACAGGAAAGAACCUGAACCCCAAGGUGGCACUCAGUUUUCUGUGUUUCAGUCGCAGUGCAAGUUGCAGGCACUCUACAUGGACGAGAAUUUAUCACUAUCACUGGUUUUGUUUCUUCAGUAAAAAGCAUUGUCUACUACCUAUCGAGUUGAAACUGAUGAUGUUGUUUCUGUAGUUAUUAGCCCUUUAAAUAGCAAUGACUGUGUUGCAUCUGAUGUGCAUGAGUUCAACCUAGCGAGCUCCUGGGAGAAGAAAAACAGAGCCACAACAGCCCUGACGAAGAUCUCCAUCCGUGGUCCGAGGACCAACCAUGACGUCGAGCUGCUACAACUUGGAGUCAGGAGUCGUGUUCGCACCCCGGCGUGUCCCAGUAUGUGCUUUGGAAGACAUGCGUCAAUCUCAGAAGACCCUGAUGCGUCCACAUUAUUUGCUUCAGAAAUAGAUAGCAGCUCUCCGAUGUAGUAAGGAGAAAGCAAGAAUGACAGAGCAUCCUCGUGUCAAACUGAACACACCCUGGCACUUCUCCAUUAUUUAAUUCAGAAACAGGGAGAAACAACUGCUAUCUCUGAAUAUAUUUAAGGUUGUUUCUCUUAUCUCUAUUCUGAUGUACAUGCAUCUUCCCUUGCUAUCUUCCAUACAUAUAUGUGCUAGAACCCAUGCCUUUUUUGUCCUGUAAAUGUGCUACAGAUAUGUGCAGCAAAGUAGUCUUCAUGUGAGAGGAAGCAAAGAAGGUAUGAGGCUAUGCAAUAAUGCUCCAUGUUAGUUGGAAGUCCAAUCUCGGCUUGAGUACCGCUCUUUAAGCAAAAUUACUAGCAACAUAUCUUAUCCUAGAUGAUUCUUGCUUAAAUAACUUUAGAAGCACAACUAUCAGUAUGUGCACUUAAUAAAAUGCAAUUCCAAGUGCAGAUGCUGAAAAUAUUUUGGAAAUUAUACAUUAUUCAAUCUCCCAGUUUGUGAUUUGCGUUUUGUUUAUGAAAAGGUGUGACGAAAUCUUUUGUUUAUGUUUUCCAGAAAUGUACAAACGAGUGGCAUGUGUCAUCUAUAGCAUGUCCCCUUUGUGUGAAAUGUACAUGCAACUCUUGACAGCUAUUAACAUGAAGUUGCACUCAGGCUCUCGCAUGGACUAAAGAGUUAUUGUCAGUAUGUACCACUGUUUAAUUUUUACAGUCCAUAGGUUUAUUUAUAUGGCCAGUAUUGAUCUCAAGGACAACAUACUGUAAUUUCCUCUAUUACUUGUCAAUAUUGCUGUAACUACAGUCACUCGCAUUCAAAAUUUUAUUUAGAGGAACUACAACAUGUAUUUUA